rnacentral:rRNA from 1 species
CAGUCGCCGCGGUAAUACGAGGGGGGCAAGCGUUGUUCGGAAUUAUUGGGCGUAAAGGGUGCGUAGGCGGUUUGGCAAGUCUUAUGUGAAAUCUCUGGGCUCAACCCAGAGUCUGCAUGAGAAACUGCCGGGCUUGAGUAUGGGAGAGGUAAGUGGAAUUCCGAGUGUAGAGGUGAAAUUCGUAGAUAUUCGGAAGAACACCAGUGGCGAAGGCGGCUUACUGGCUCAUUCUAGACGCUGAGGUGCGAAAGCGUGGGGAGCAAACAGGAUUAGAGACCCCAGUAGUCCCUGUCUCUUAUAC